rnacentral:tmRNA from 1 species
GGGGCUGCCCUGGUUUCGACGUGGGUUCGGAAUCGGCGUGGUGCAUGUCGAGCUUGAUUGGCGCUCGUAAAUCUGCAUUCAAAAAACUAACUGCAAACGACGAACGUUUCGCACUCGCCGCUUAAUAACCGGUGAGCCUUGCAACAGCACGCUGAUGGGCUGGGCAAGGGGAUCGUAGGCUUGCGGACGCGGGUUCAAUUCCCGCCAGCUCCACCA